UAGUUAUAAAACUUGACAUGUUUUUAGGUGUACAGAAUUAAGAACUAGAUAAUUUUGUUUUAUUAAACAAUCACAUCAAGAAUAAAUGUCUUCUAUCCAAACAGCAAUCUAAAUUACAAUUAAGCAUUUUUUUCUUUCUGUGCAUCAUAAAUAUGUACCUGUUUGUCCUAUUUACUUAUUUCUAAUUACUAUGAAAACCUCUUGGAAAAUCAAAAAUAACCUCUCAAUUACACCAACAAGAUCUAAAAAUCCAACAAAAAAGGUAUUUUGUCAUU